UGUCAUGAUUGCAUUUCAUUCUCUUCUCUCUUAAUCUUACUGUGCACUGAGAAUGAAUUUCUCAUUGUGAUCAUUCUAUUAAAGAUCUCUUCCAUAUCAGUAUGAUAGACUUCGUAGGUCCUUGUGUUAAUUAAUGUGAGUUGUUAAGCAGAACAAUGCAGUCUCGCAAUUUUGGUCAUCUAGCUGUUACGUUUCUUCCAUCUUCACAAAUUCGACAUUUUGGGAGCUUCAUAGUGGAAUAAUGCAAUAAUGCAAGGCAAAACGAUAGUUUGAUUUUGAAGGUGUAAGAGUGAUGAAAUCAAAGGCUCAAAAGAUGCCACUUGUCAUUAGAUUAACGAGGUUGUUAGACAAGUUGUCUUUUACUGUACCUUAGUGAGCAAGCUUUGUAAUAACUCAUAUAAAACCGAUUCUCUCUUGUAUUGUAAGUAACUUGAUCAAUAAGAAAAGAUCUCUUUCUCUCUGCA